rnacentral:lncRNA from 1 species
CUUGCCAAAGAAAUAGAUGAACGUUACGCUGGCCAUCUACCAUCCACUCAGUCUCGUGUUCCCUGUUUUGUCACGGAGGAUCUUAAUCAACAUGAAAUGCAGCAUCACAUCCUCACCUGACACCUGUGGUGCCGAAAGACUUCAUGACCAUGCUGUAUACCUCAAAGGCAGAGGGCCUCUGAAUACCAGAAGUGUUGAAUCGUGGCUUCCAUGGAUUAUUCAUCAUGGUUAAUGGACUUGAGCACCCAGGAAAUUGUGGUGAAAGCCUUUCAGGGCCUGGUGCUUUGACUUCCUUCCUAACAAAAUGCCCUCACCUUCCUUCUUGCAGAGUAUUUGCUUACCUUUACCUGUUCACAAGAUUUCUGUGAGGGUUUUAUUUUCUUUGUCUCCUGUCCUUCUGUCACAUUUAACCAAGUUGUCUCAAAUCUAUUUGGAGACUCAAAGACACAGAUAAGGACAUAAAACCACUGAAAAAGCUGAAGUGUUGUUUUCAUGGGAAACAACAACAAAAAAAUUUGUAUUUUCAAUAAAGCUGUAGGCAGAACGGUCCA